rnacentral:lncRNA from 10 species
AAAAGAAGCCGUGGCCGCGGGAGGAGGCGAGAGGAGUCGGGAUCUGCGCUGCAGCCACCGCCGCGGUUGAUACUACUUUGACCUUCCGAGUGCAGUGUCUCGCUCUGUCGCCCAUGCUGGAGUGCAAUUGCGUGAUCUCAGCUAACUGCACUUUCCGCCUCCUGGGUUCAAACAGUGAUGUGUGUUCUGAAAUUGUGAACCAUGAGUCUAGUACUUAAUGAUCUGCUUAUCUGCUGCCGUCAACUAGAACAUGAUAGAGCUACAGAACGAAAGAAAGAAGUUGAGAAAUUUAAGCGCCUGAUUCGAGAUCCUGAAACAAUUAAACAUCUAGAUCGGCAUUCAGAUUCCAAACAAGGAAAAUAUUUGAAUUGGGAUGCUGUUUUUAGAUUUUUACAGAAAUAUAUUCAGAAAGAAACAGAAUGUCUGAGAAUAGCAAAACCAAAUGUAUCAGCCUCAACACAAGCCUCCAGGCAGAAAAAGA